AUACUAACAGCUAAUUCCAUUAACUCUUCCCUACUCUUUUCUUUUGAUAAGAGAGUUUUUAAAACCAGUGUUAUUUAUGUAAGUUUAAGAGAAGUUUAUGUAUUAAAUUAUUGAUAUUAGAUAGUUUUAUUAGGCUUAGACUUAAUUUUAGGUCAUUUUGGGGGUUUAGCUCAGUUGGCUAGAGCAUCGGCUUUGCAAGCCGAGGGUCAAGGGUUCGAGUCCCUUAACCUCCAUUGGGCUUAUGCCCUAAAUUGUAAUUAAGUAUGUUUUUAAGUAACUUUGUUAAAGUAAUUGUUGGAAUGUGAAACACAAGAAGUUAAAAUUUCUGGGUUAAGUUGAGAUCUGUUGAUAUUAAGAAAAAUGUCUAGAAGCAAAAGCAAGCUUUCGAUAAAACCCGAAGUUGUUUCGCUAAAGUGCAAGGAUUAAACAGGAUUGUAUUUUUCAGCAGCCUAUUUUAUAAACGAUCUGCAUUUAGUAAAUAGUUUUUAGUUAGGAAAUAAUGUAGAUUACUAAGUGUGAUGUCUGAGAGAAGGACAAGUAUUGUAGCGAGCUUAAAUCCUUAUUAUCGUUGCCAGUAUUUAGUG
rnacentral:misc_RNA from 1 species